CCUACGGGUGGCAGCAGUGGGGAAUAUUGGGCAAUGGGCGCAAGCCUGACCCAGCAACGCCGCGUGAAGGAAGAAGGCUUUCGGGUUGGAAACUUCUUUUCUCAGGGACGAAGAAUGUGACGGUACCUGAGUAAUAAGCCACGGCUAACUACGUGCCAGCAGCCGCGGUAAUACGUAGGUGGCAAGCGUUAUCCGGAUUUAUUGGGUGUAAAGGGCGUGUAGGCGGGAGGGAAAGUCAGAUGUGAAAUCUCAGGGCUCAACCCUGAGACUGCAUUUGAAACUGGGUUCCUUGAGUGCUGGAGAGGUAAGCGGAAUUCGGGGUGUAGCGGUGAAAUGCGUAGAUAUACGGAGGAACACCAGUGGCGAAGGCGGAUUGCUGGACAGUAACUGACGCUGAGGCGCGAAAGCGUGGGGAGCAAACAGGAUUAGAUACCCGUGUAGUC
rnacentral:rRNA from 1 species